AACGAACGCUGGCGGCAGGCCUAACACAUGCAAGUCGAGCGAGGACUUCGGUUCUAGCGGCGGACGGGUGAGUAACGCGUGGGAAUGUGCCCUUCUCUACGGAAUAGCCCUGGGAAACUGGGAGUAAUACCGUAUACGCCCUAUUGGGGAAAGAUUUAUCGGAGAAGGAUCAGCCCGCGUUGGAUUAGGUAGUUGGUGGGGUAAUGGCCUACCAAGCCGACGAUCCAUAGCUGGUUUGAGAGGAUGAUCAGCCACACUGGGACUGAGACACGGCCCAGACUCCUACGGGAGGCAGCAGUGGGGAAUCUUAGAAAAUGGGGGCAACCCUGAUCUAGCCAUGCCGCGUGAGUGAUGAAGGCCUUAGGGUUGUAAAGCUCUUUCAGCUGGGAAGAUAAUGACGGUACCAGCAGAAGAAGCCCCGGCUAACUCCGUG
rnacentral:rRNA from 1 species